GAUGAACGCUGGCGGCGUGCCUAAUACAUGCAAGUCGAGCGAACGGACGAGAAGCUUGCUUCUCUGAUGUUAGCGGCGGACGGGUGAGUAACACGUGGAUAACCUACCUAUAAGACUGGGAUAACUUCGGGAAACCGGAGCUAAUACCGGAUAAUAUUUUGAACCGCAUGGUUCAAAAGUGAAAGACGGUCUUGCUGUCACUUAUAGAUGGAUCCGCGCUGCAUUAGCUAGUUGGUAAGGUAACGGCUUACCAAGGCAACGAUGCAUAGCCGACCUGAGAGGGUGAUCGGCCACACUGGAACUGAGACACGGUCCAGACUCCUACGGGAGGCAGCAGUAGGGAAUCUUCCGCAAUGGGCGAAAGCCUGACGGAGCAACGCCGCGUGAGUGAUGAAGGUCUUCGGAUCGUAAAACUCUGUUAUUAGGGAAGAACAUAUGUGUAAGUAACUGUGCACAUCUUGACGGUACCUAAUCAGAAAGCCACGGCUAACUACGUGCCAGCAGCCGCGGUAAUACGUAGGUGGCAAGCGUUAUCCGGAAUUAUUGGGCGUAAAGCGCGCGUAGGCGGUUUUUUAAGUCUGAUGUGAAAGCCCACGGCUCAACCGUGGAGGGUCAUUGGAAACUGGAAAACUUGAGUGCAGAAGAGGAAAGUGGAAUUUCAUGUGUAGCGGUGAAAUGCGCAGAGAUAUGGAGGAACACCAGUGGCGAAGGCGACUUUCUGGUCUGUAACUGACGCUGAUGUGCGAAAGCGUGGGGAUCAAACAGGAUUAGAUACCCUGGUAGUCCACGCCGUAAACGAUGAGUGCUAAGUGUUAGGGGGUUUCCGCCCCUUAGUGCUGCAGCUAACGCAUUAAGCACUCCGCCUGGGGAGUACGACCGCAAGGUUGAAACUCAAAGGAAUUGACGGGGACCCGCACAAGCGGUGGAGCAUGUGGUUUAAUUCGAAGCAACGCGAAGAACCUUACCAAAUCUUGACAUCCUUUGACAACUCUAGAGAUAGAGCCUUCCCCUUCGGGGGACAAAGUGACAGGUGGUGCAUGGUUGUCGUCAGCUCGUGUCGUGAGAUGUUGGGUUAAGUCCCGCAACGAGCGCAACCCUUAAGCUUAGUUGCCAUCAUUAAGUUGGGCACUCUAAGUUGACUGCCGGUGACAAACCGGAGGAAGGUGGGGAUGACGUCAAAUCAUCAUGCCCCUUAUGAUUUGGGCUACACACGUGCUACAAUGGACAAUACAAAGGGCAGCGAAACCGCGAGGUCAAGCAAAUCCCAUAAAGUUGUUCUCAGUUCGGAUUGUAGUCUGCAACUCGACUACAUGAAGCUGGAAUCGCUAGUAAUCGUAGAUCAGCAUGCUACGGUGAAUACGUUCCCGGGUCU
rnacentral:rRNA from 1 species